AGUUUAGAUAUUGUUUCAUGGUGUCCAUCCAUCUUUACAGUCCCUCAGUCAAAUCUCUCCACUCUCACCACUUCAUCAACCACACCUGCAGACACCACCACCAAAGUUUCAGACUCCUCACACACACGUUCCUCUUCACUCUCACUCCCAUACUCCACCUUGCAACAACAAAACACCAACACCACUGCAGCAACUCAACCAGACACCACCUCGCCACCAAACACCACAAUCACACCUCUCACCUCCACGCAACCCAACUCAACCUUACACACAUUCACCAGCAUCACGG
rnacentral:lncRNA from 1 species